CGGGGGGCAGCAGUCGAGGAUCUUCGGCAAUGGGCGAAAGCCUGACCGAGCGACGCCGCGUGUGGGAUGAAGGCCUUCGGGUUGUAAACCACUGUCAACGGGGAGGAAAUGCAGGAGGGUACUCCCUCCUGUUUGACCUAUCUGUGGAGGAAGUACGGGCUAAGUUCGUGCCAGCAGCCGCGGUAAGACGAACCGUACAAACGUUAUUCGGAAUCACUGGGCUUAAAGGGUGCGUAGGCUGCGCGGUAAGUUGGGUGUGAAAGCCCUCGGCUCAACCGAGGAACUGCGCUCAAAACUACCGUGCUGGAGGGAGACAGAGGUGAGCGGAACUCAGGGUGGAGCGGUGAAAUGCGUUGAUAUCCUGAGGAACACCGGUGGCGAAGGCGGCUCACUGGGUCUCUUCUGACGCUGAGGCACGAAAGCCAAGGUAGCAAACGGGAUUAGAUACCCCAGU
rnacentral:rRNA from 1 species